ACUGACUCAUUGACAGAUGUAUUCUGCCUCGGCUGCAUGCUUUACAUUUUUCAUAUAACCCCUCUUUUCUCUCUCUCUUGUCCUUUGUAUAUUAUUACUGGCGUUACCUUUUGGGUCUUUUUGCACUUCCGUUCCCCUUUGCUCUCUGGCGAUUUCUUUGGGUUCUUAAGACUUGAAGCCUGGUUUCGAAAUUGCAGUGCUCUUCUUCUUGUUCUUUGUGUACUCGGAGCUGUGAGAAAAGGAGAUGGAUGCCCUGGAUCGUGCUUCUGUUUCUAAGGAGGAGGAGCUCCACAAAAAGAGUUGUUGAAAUUGGGAAUGAGCUGCUUCAGCAUCCCCCAUCUUCUGAAGAGGAGCUUCUGGGGAAACUUGAUGUUCUAUGAAGGGGACAUAUCAUAUCAUUUUCAGAGAAGAAGCACAUGGUGAUCUAUGAAGAUGGUGAUCAGGAAACAUUAAAUCUAACAAAGGAACCCUGGGAACUAGUUGAAGAAGAAGACAAUGCAUCAGAUCCUGUGGGUUUGUGCCAGGCUUUUCUUUUCCAUUCUCUUCUCUACUCGUCUGUUCUGUACUUGUCUUUCUUUGCAUGACUUAUUGGAUGGAUGUAUUUCAGAUACAAGAGAUUGUUCCUGGUCCAAGUGAUUUGUCUGACAUGUUCAUUGUUGUUCUUGCUGCUGUUGGAAGAUGUCUCACUCUAAAAGAAUGUGAUGAUGGACCUCCAUCCAUAAAAACAUCAUUUUUUAGAUGUAAAAGUAAUCAUUUGAAGAGCUAUAAAAAUAUAAAAAGUACUAAAUGUUUCUCUCUUACUAUUACGAUGAGAUUGUUCCAAUUUUACAACUGUAUUAUAGAGAAUAUCAUUUCUUAGAUUCUUUUCUGCAGAAUUAAUUUCCUAUAAAUCUUAAACUCAUCAUAAAGUUUAAAAUUUAGUCUAAUGCACAAAAUAUCAAAUAUUCAAUAGCUUAAACUGUCUCCCCCCAACCACAUCUCCUUUUUUUUGUUUUUGUUAAACUGUUCUAGGCUGCUUGCAUGUGUUUAUCAACUAUACUUGUUGAGAGUUGAAAUAUCAAGGAUCUAGAAAGGCAUAAAACAUAGGUACUUCAUAAGCUUCAUCGUUCGUUUCUCCUCCCUCCUUGUUAUACGUCCAAGUUCAUUGCUACUGUUGUUGUUGCUGGUGGAAGAUGUUGUCGCUCUACAAGAAUGUGAUGGACCUUCAUCUAUACGCUCAGCCUUCAGCCUCUUAGCAGCCUGAUCUGGGGAUGGCUCACUUGGAGAUUUGGAUUUGUUAUUAUCAGGAGCUAGUUGAGUUUCUUUGGCUGCAACAUCGUCACUCCCUCUAACAAGAAACCAAGCAAUGUCGAUACACAGAUUUCAGAGAAAUCACAUAAUUGGAUGUGUGCAAUACACUAUUCGUAAGCAAAUUGCUUUCAGAAUGUGGUUGGGAGUUAAAACUUAUAUUGCACGCAUUUUAUUUCUCUGAAAUUUGUAUAUUAGCAUUGCUUCACAGGGUUUCUUGUUAAAGGGAGCGACGGUGCUGCAGCCAAAGAAACUCAAUUAGCUCCUAAUAAUAACAAAUCCAAAUCUCCCAGUGAGCCAUCCCCAGAUCAGGAUGCUUAGAGGUUAAAGGCUGAGCGUACGGAUGAAGGUCCAUCACAUUCUUGUAGAGCGGCAACAUCUUCCAGUACCAGCAACAACAUCAGCGAUGAACCUGAACGUGUAGCAAGGAGGGAGGAGAAACGAACGAAGAAGCUUAUGAAGUACCUCUAUUUUAUGCCUUUCUAGAUCCUUGCUAUUUCAACUCUCAACAAGUAUAGUUGAUAAAUGCAACCAACCUAGAACAAUUUAACAAAAAAAAAAGAGAUGGUUUGGGAGGGGGGGAGUUUAAGCUAUUGAAUAUUUGAUAUUUUGUGCAAUAGACUAAAUUUCAAACUUUAUGAUGAGUUUAAGAUUUAGGAAAGGAAUUUUGCGGAAAAGAAUCUAAGAGAUGAUUUUCUCUUUAAUAUAGUUGUAAAAUUGGAACAACUUCAUUGUAAUAUUAAGAGAGAAACAUUUAGUACUUUUUAUAGCUCUUCAAGUGAUUACUUUUAUAUCUAAAAAAUGAUGUUUCUCCUUGCUACACAUCGCUGUUGUUGGAAGAUGUCGUUGCUCCACAAGAAUGUGAUGGACAUUCAUCAUUUUACAUAAAUUGUUAAUGUGCAGGCGCCUUGGUUGCGUUAUUGAUUCAUAUCGCCAUAUAAGGAAAAAGAAGAAGGUGAUUCCUGGAUCUUUAUGCAUGGAAUAUCCCGGAUCCCCAAAUUGCUCGGGUUAGGCUGGGGGGUUGUAAACAGGCCCCAAUUUUGUAGUUUUCUUUAUGCUGCAGGAUUAAUGAAGUGGUUGAUCUUUAAUCUUUUGAGUUCAAGUAAGAGAGCUGAUACUAAGUAAACCAUGGAGCGAGUUCACAUUGCUACUAAAUAAUGUUGAAUUCUUCUUAUGGCAAAUUUAUGGAAAAGAAGCAGAAAAGCUUAUAUAUGUAAUGUCCAGGCAGAGGCAGAAUAAGUCCCGCAUCUUCUCCUGAAUCUUUGCCCUUGUAAUACAAAAUAACACAAGUAAUCUUUCUUUUCUGCAGAUUCUCCACCAUCUGGAUCACUCCCCUCGUGGUUAGCCAAGUGAAAAAAUACACCUCUCUGUACUCUAGGAAUUCAUACGGAAUAUUAUACUCCUCCCAAUUUAGAAGCUUCUCAUAAUAUGACUUCACUGAAAACCAUGGCUCUGCACAUCUCCAUACACCAUGGCUAUCCAUAGUAGUUUUUUGUUGGUUAAGCAUACAAUCAAGUUUUGAAAUUCUUCGAACUUCCUCUUGCAAAUUUCUUCUAAGCCUCAAAUCCCAGUGCACUUCUCCCCCUUGUAUACUCCAUAACCAUUGAAUCAACAUCUCUUUUUUGUUUUUGGGCAAGAAGCUCUAAUACAUGUUAGGAAAUGUGAUUCUCAAGAUGUUGUUUUCACACCUCCUAUGUUUUUAAAACUCUCUCAAGUUUUGAAAUUCUUCAAACUUCCUCUUGCAAAUUUCUUCUAAGCCUCAAAUCCCAGUGCACUUCUCCCCCUUGUAUACUCCAUAACCAUUGAAUCAACAUCUCUUUUUUGAUUUUGGGCAAGAAGCUCUAAUACAUGUUAGGAAAUGUGAUUCUCAAGAUGUUGUUUUCACACCACCUAUGUUUUUAAAACUCUCUCAAGUAACCUCUUAUCACUAUUUUAUCCAUCAUCCUGCUCAAUACGUUCAUCUCUGAUAUGAAUAACAUAGGGGAUAAUCAAAGAUUUAUCAUCACUAGAUUCAAAAUUGAAUAUGAGGGCACCUCCAAUAACAUAUCCAAUUAGGGCACAACUCCAUUCUGUGGAUGGUUCAUUCACUUCAACUGGGUUGAGCUUCACCACUUUCUGUUCAUCCCUAACAUGCUUCAAGAUCUUUUAAGUAUCAGUAUAAGUAUAAUGUAGUAUCAUUAUGGAGGUUCCUAGAAUUUCUUUUAAAGUUUGGUAAUCAAUAUUUUCAAAGUUUGGUCUAUAAAAUAAAUCAAACUUCAGUA